GAGAAAUCAAUGGAGAGCAAGCCAGUAAGCAGCAUCCCUUCAUGACCUUUGCUUCAUUUCUUGCCUCCAGGCUCCUGCUU
rnacentral:miRNA from 1 species